GGGGCAUAUGCGUAUUGCUCCUCAGAUUUAAAACUAAAAAACUAUAGUAAUACCGCUGUUUCGAACGGCUGCCAUGCCGCUUUAAUUCGGAGUUACGUUUGUUCGUGUGGUUGUCGCAAUUUGGACAGAAGUCAUGUCGUAUGUCGUCUUAUUCUCUCGGAAUUUAUCCUAACAGGACCUCAAUAUUAGGCGUCAAACUAUAUGAACGUUUAAUUGAUAGCGUGAAACGAUCUUGCAUUCAUGUUUAUUAUAUGCAUGUGCAAAUGCAACUUCCGACAAUUAUGGGUAUAAAAUACGAACACUUCGAUCACUUUUCCAGCAAUAGUGACGCCAUCUUGGAUGGUGAGGCAUCGGGGUCUAACCCAUAGAGAUUAUAAAUAACACUAGAGGGGGCAUUGAACGCGGCUAAGGGGGGGGGGGCAAAAAAUUAAAAUGCUAACAUCAGAGCGAGUUUGAGCCAAAAUCUCUAAAUUCUUGUUUAUGGCAGUUAAGUAGUCCCGUUUUGAUUUUUACCAAGCAUUUUUACCUCAAUAUUGUCUAUAACACAUUUUUGAGAGCGCUCCAAAUUAAUGCUGAUGUCAUCAAUUUUGAUCUUUUCAAGAGGAAUUAAUCGUUUGAAUUCAAAAUUUG